rnacentral:rRNA from 2 species
CAAGGCAGACGGCUCAUUCCGCGUAGUCAACCUAACCUAUGGAUGGGAAUAACCUCGGGAAACUGAGAAUAAUACCCAAUAGAACACUAUGCCUGGAAUGGUUUGUGUUCCAAAUGAUUUAUCGCCGUAGGAUGGGACUGCGGCCUAUCAGUUUGUUGGUGAGGUAAUGGCCCACCAAGACUAUUACAGGUACGGGCUCUGAGAGGAGUAGCCCGGAGAUGGGUACUGAGACACGGACCCAGGCCCUAUGGGGCGCAGCAGGCGAGAAAACUUUGCAAUGUGCGAAAGCACGACAAGGUUAAUCCGAGUGGUUUGUGCUAAACAGACCUUUUGUUAGUCCUAGAAACACUAACGAAUAAGGGGUGGGCAAGUUCUGGUGUCAGCCGCCGCGGUAAAACCAGCACCUCAAGUGGUCAGGAUGAUUAUUGGGCCUAAAGCAUCCGUAGCCGGCUCUGUAAGUUUUCGGUUAAAUCUGUACGCUCAACGUACAGGCUGCCGGGANUACUGCAAAGCUAGGGAGUGGGAAAGGUANACGGUACUCGGUAGGAAGGGGUNAAAUCCUUUGAUCUNUUGAUGACCCCCUGUGGCGAAGGCGG